CCUGGCCAGGGGCGGGGGCGGCGCGGGCGGAGCCGGCGUCCCGGGCUUCCCUCUGGCCGCACUUCGGGGCGGCCGGGUUGGACGGACGACGGGGAAGCCGCGUUAUCCCUUGCCUUCCCCCAGUCCCAGAUGCGGCCCUCUGGAGGCCUCCCAGGUCGGGGCCCUGCUGCCUCAGGGUCGGAAGCACGGAUGUCGGGCCGGGCCCGUGACUUCGCCAGGCUUCACGCCCAACCUAAUGAGUUAGGUGUCCCUUUCCAGUUCCCAGGCUGGGGUGGAAUAGGUGAACUUGCUGAAGCUCAGAGAGAUGCCCCUCCAUUCCCUUCUCAAGAGGAAGCUGUAAUUCAGCUGUAACAAAAUCAGAUUGUAAGGAAUCGGGUCUCUCAGUGUCAGCCCCAGUACCUUUGCACUGGCUGUCUGCUCUACCUGGAACUCUUCCCCUCUGCUUGGACCUUCUUACUCCCACUUCCUGCAGGCCCAGAUGUCCGUCCCCUCAUUAGAUGUCAACUGAUCCCUCUGGAAUAGGAACCACCCACUACCCUGCUCUUUUGCACGCAGGCACCAGUCCUCAUCUGCUCUGUCGUUGUCAGAGCACCUACAUCCAGCACUACCUUGCACUGUUUGCCUGUUUACUUCUGGACUGUCGGCUCCCUCCACUAGAAUGUUAGACUCAGUCAAGCGGGGCCUUUGUUUUGUUCACUUCUGGAUCCCUGGUACAUAAUAAAAUACUUGAUGAGUGA